UACGUAGGGGGCAAGCGUUAUCCGGAAUUACUGGGUGUAAAGGGAGCGUAGACGGCUGUGCAAGUCUGGAGUGAAAGGCGGGGGCCCAACCCCCGGACCGCUCUGGAAACUGUAUGGCUGGAGUGCAGGAGAGGUAAGCGGAAUUCCUAGUGUAGCGGUGAAAUGCUUAGAGAUCAUACAGAACUCCGAUUGCGAAGGCAGCUUACUAAGCCAUAACUGACACUGAAGCACGAAAGCGUGGGGAUCAAACAGG
rnacentral:rRNA from 1 species